rnacentral:lncRNA from 1 species
UCAUUUUUCCCCCCAUCUGUGAUGGGCAUAAACUGGAUAAUAAUCUAUGGAAUAAAAACAUUUGUUUGCUUAAUCCAGACGUACUUUGACACAAACUGCUGCUGUAGGUGAAGAAUAUUCUUUGCCUUGCAGCUCUCCAGUUGGAGGGGCCAUGAGGGAAUGUUUCGAUUCCUGCUCCACCGCAGACUCCGUGUGACCAUGGGAAGUCGCUGAGUCUGUCUGUGCCCCAGCUCUAUCCGUACAAUGGGGACAAGACCACUUCCUUCCUCUCAGAGGUGUGGUGAGGAUAAAUGCACUAGACUGUGAGGCACUCGGUGAAGCGGGCCAUACCUAACAUAAAUAAAUGGAGACGGCCCAUCCGUAAUAGGAGAAGAAGUGCCUCGCGCCUUGGCAAUGUGACGCCACGUGUCUGGAACCUGCAUCUGACCUUGCGUCUGCCACGGGCAGCAGAGGAGCCGCAGUCGUCACUACUAGAGGCAACGAUGCCCCACCCAUCAGAUUGCAAGCAUGCAGUUAACAUACAAGAUUCCAGCUCUCUCCACUGCUGUUAACUUUUCCCCAGCAUGCAUUAUCUGGAAUGAAGUGGAGCUAUAUUUUCCCCAUCUUGUGAAACACACUGUCCAUAUUCUCACCGCAGUUAUUCCCAUCUACCAAGAUGAACCAGCACCAAUUGAAAUGGCUUUGAGUGGAGAUGGAAGCAUACCAGAAUACCAAAUGCACAUACUCCCCCUCCCCACACAACUCUGCACAUGCUCAGGAUAUCAAGGAUCCGCUCUGUCUCGUGCUCAGGAUCAAAGAGUCCAGUUAUGGUCCCACAGCCACUUAGGAAAAUGAAAAGAACAUUUUUGUUUCUUCCUUCGGAAGUGUUCAAAAUAUUGAUGGCCGUUAAAAGUGCUUAAAGCCAAGAGAAUUUUGACUUCUAACAGACUGAUCUUGAAAGCCUGCUUUCACUCUGAGGAAAACAGACUCAUUAAACUCAACUGGGGCAAAAUGCUACACUCUGAUGCAGGCAAUGUACCUCAAUUCCCAGCACAUGUGUAGAACUCAGUCAGAUCAUAGGAAUGGUCCUUUCAGUCUGGCAUCUUGUCUCCAACACCACCAGUACCAGAUACUUCAAAGGAAGGUGCAAGAAACCUCAUUUUGGACAAUGAUGGAAUAACCCACCCGGAUGGAGAGUUUCUGGUGUGAGCAGAGGUGUGGGUGAGAAGAAUUGUGCAUACUCCUGCAGUGCCGGAGCCAGAAGGACUUGGAGAGACUCAAGCUCACAAGAUUGCCACAUCUGAAACCCGCGACUUCAACUUCCCAGCCUCUUAUGGGACAGAACUGAU